rnacentral:rRNA from 1 species
GACGAACGCUGGCGGCGUACUUAACACAUGCAAGUCGAACGAUGAUGCCCAGCUUGCUGGGUGGAUUAGUGGCGAACGGGUGAGUAACACGUGAGUAACCUGCCCCUGACUCUGGGAUAAGCGUUGGAAACGACGUCUAAUACUGGAUAUGACUGCCGGCCGCAUGGUCUGGUGGUGGAAAGAUUUUUUGGUUGGGGAUGGACUCGCGGCCUAUCAGCUUGUUGGUGAGGUAAUGGCUCACCAAGGCGACGACGGGUAGCCGGCCUGAGAGGGUGACCGGCCACACUGGGACUGAGACACGGCCCAGACUCCUACGGGAGGCAGCAGUGGGGAAUAUUGCACAAUGGGCGAAAGCCUGAUGCAGCAACGCCGCGUGAGGGAUGACGGCCUUCGGGUUGUAAACCUCUUUUAGUAGGGAAGAAGCGAAAGUGACGGUACCUGCAGAAAAAGCACCGGCUAACUACGUGCCAGCAGCCGCGGUAAUACGUAGGGUGCAAGCGUUGUCCGGAAUUAUUGGGCGUAAAGAGCUCGUAGGCGGUUUGUCGCGUCUGCUGUGAAAUCCCGAGGCUCAACCUCGGGCUUGCAGUGGGUACGGGCAGACUAGAGUGCGGUAGGGGAGAUUGGAAUUCCUGGUGUAGCGGUGGAAUGCGCAGAUAUCAGGAGGAACACCGAUGGCGAAGGCAGAUCUCUGGGCCGUAACUGACGCUGAGGAGCGAAAGCAUGGGGAGCGAACAGGAUUAGAUACCCUGGUAGUCCAUGCCGUAAACGUUGGGCGCUAGAUGUAGGGACCUUUCCACGGUUUCUGUGUCGUAGCUAACGCAUUAAGCGCCCCGCCUGGGGAGUACGGCCGCAAGGCUAAAACUCAAAGGAAUUGACGGGGGCCCGCACAAGCGGCGGAGCAUGCGGAUUAAUUCGAUGCAACGCGAAGAACCUUACCAAGGCUUGACAUACACCGGAAACGGCCAGAGAUUGUCGCCCCCUUGUGGUCGGUGUACAGGUGGUGCAUGGUUGUCGUCAGCUCGUGUCGUGAGAUGUUGGGUUAAGUCCCGCAACGAGCGCAACCCUCGUUCUAUGUUGCCAGCGCGUUAUGGCGGGGACUCAUAGGAGACUGCCGGGGUCAACUCGGAGGAAGGUGGGGAUGACGUCAAAUCAUCAUGCCCCUUAUGUCUUGGGCUUCACGCAUGCUACAAUGGCCGGUACAAAGGGCUGCGAUACCGUAAGGUGGAGCGAAUCCCAAAAAGCCGGUCUCAGUUCGGAUUGAGGUCUGCAACUCGACCUCAUGAAGUCGGAGUCGCUAGUAAUCGCAGAUCAGCAACGCUGCGGUGAAUACGUUCCCGGGCCU